rnacentral:rRNA from 1 species
CCUACGGGAGGCAGCAGUGGGGAAUAUUGGACAAUGGGCGAAAGCCUGAUCCAGCAAUUCCGCGUGUGUGAAGAAGGCCUUCGGGUUGUAAAGCACUUUAGUUGGGGAAGAAACAGCUUGGCCACACCAAGCCUUGACGGUACCCAAAGAAUAAGCACCGGCUAACUCUGUGCCAGCAGCCGCGGUAAUACAGAGGGUGCAAGCGUUAAUCGGAUUUACUGGGCGUAAAGGGUGCGUAGGUGGUUUUGUAAGUCGGAUGUGAAAGCCUGGGGCUCAACCUCAGAAUUGCACUCGAUACUGCAAGACUAGAGUUCGGUAGAGGGCGGCGGAAUUCCCGGUGUAGCGGUGAAAUGCGUAGAUAUCGGGAGGAACAUCAAUGGCGAAGGCAGCCGCCUGGGCCUGAACUGACACUGAGGCACGAAAGCGUGGGUAGCAAACAGGAUUAGAUACCCUGGUAGUCCACGCUGUAAACGAUGAGAACUUGACGUUGGUUCGUUUUACGAAUCGGUGUCGCAGCUAACGCGAUAAGUUCUCCGCCUGGGGAGUACGGCCGCAAGGUUGAAACUCAAAGAGUAGUAGGCGUGNGAGAGCGACGACGACGACGAGGAGGAGG